rnacentral:rRNA from 1 species
AUUGAACGCUGGCGGCAGGCCUAACACAUGCAAGUCGAGCGGAGCGGCGGACGGGUGAGUAAUGCCUAGGUAUCUGCCUGGCAGUGGGGGAUAACGUCCGUAAACGGGCGCUAAUACCGCACACUAUCAGAUGAGCCUAGGUCGGAUUAGCUAGUUGGUGGGGUAAAGGCCUACCAAGGCGACGAUCCGUAACUGGUCUGAGAGGAUGAUCAGUCACACUGGAACUGAGACACGGUCCAGACUCCGACGGGAGGCAGCAGUGGGGAAUAUUGGGCAAUGGGCGAAAGCCUGAUCCAGCCAUGCCGCGUGUGUGAAGAAGGUCUUCGGAUUGUAAAGCGCUUUAAGUUGGGAGGCGUUACCGAAAGAAUAAGCACCGGCUAACUUCGUGCCAGCCGCCGCGGUAAUUC